rnacentral:rRNA from 1 species
CACGGUGGAUGCCUUGGCACUAGAAGCCGAUGAAGGACGUUACUAACGACGAUAUGCUUUGGGGAGCUGUAAGUAAGCUUUGAUCCAGAGAUUUCCGAAUGGGGAAACCCAGCAUGAGUUAUGUCAUGUUAUCGAUAUGUGAAUACAUAGCAUAUCAGAAGGCACACCCGGAGAACUGAAACAUCUUAGUACCCGGAGGAAGAGAAAGAAAAUUCGAUUCCCUUAGUAGCGGCGAGCGAAACGGGAAGAGCCCAAACCAACAAGCUUGCUUGUUGGGGUUGUAGGACACUCUAUACGGAGUUACAAAGGACGACAUUAGACGAAUCAUCUGGAAAGAUGAAUCAAAGAAGG